GAGAACUCCAACAAGCCGAACCAGAAGUAUAUUCAGAUAGUCACCGUGGAUGACUUCGAGUUCUGGUUCAUGGGGUUCGUUAGUUAUCCGAGAUCUUUGAAGUGGAUACAUCAAGCAACCUCCGAAACCCAUGUGAGAGUUUCCAAGUGACGGAAUGACUCAUCGAUAAAACUGGCUGGCCAUAUUUGCAAAUAUGGGGAAAAUUGGCCGAU
rnacentral:misc_RNA from 1 species